CGCCUAGACUCCUCAACCAAGCCGGCCCAAACCUCUCGGCCCAGUAAUCAGGCCCUCACCAGGCUCAACUUCAGCCCUACCAUUCAACCCAGCCCAGAAAGGGGAAAAUGACCAAGAUGCCCCGCUGGUAGGUCCUUCCGCAUGCGUAUCAGAGGAGAAUCAAUUGCCGUUACGCAUGGAGUAGGCGCCUGACACAUCCGUACAUACGGAGCUAGCUAGACGGCAGAAGACAGCUAGCAUUGUGGCAGAGAGACAUAUAUAUAUCACGGUAGAGGCCACGCAGAAAAGGG
rnacentral:lncRNA from 1 species